rnacentral:rRNA from 1 species
AACGAACGCUGGCGGCAGGCCUAACACAUGCAAGUCGAGCGAGGACUUCGGUCCUAGCGGCGGACGGGUGAGUAACGCGUGGGAACGUGCCCUUUGCUUCGGAAUAGCCCUGGGAAACUGGGAGUAAUACCGGAUGAGCCCUUUGGGGGAAAGAUUUAUCGGCGAAGGAUCGGCCCGCGUUGGAUUAGGUAGUUGGUGGGGUAAUGGCCUACCAAGCCGACGAUCCAUAGCUGGUUUGAGAGGAUGAUCAGCCACACUGGGACUGAGACACGGCCCAGACUCCACCGGGGGGCGGCAGGGGGGAUUUUUAGACAAGGGGGGAACCCCUGACCGCGCCAUGCGGCGGGAGGGAUGAGGCCUUUGGGGUUGAAAAGCUCUUUAAGCUGGGAAGAUAAGGCGGGUCCCAGAAAAAGAAGCCCCGGCUAACUCCGUG